rnacentral:rRNA from 1 species
UACGUAGGGUGCAAGCGUUGUCCGGAAUUAUUGGGCGUAAAGAGCUCGUAGGCGGUCUGUCGCGUCGGCUGUGAAAACUCGGGGCUCAACUCCGAGCCUGCAGUCGAUACGGGCAGACUAGAGUGCUGUAGGGGAGACUGGAAUUCCUGGUGUAGCGGUGAAAUGCGCAGAUAUCAGGAGGAACACCGGUGGCGAAGGCGGGUCUCUGGGCAGUAACUGACGCUGAGGAG